GCGCGUUGCCCAGUCUCCUGCUCCUGUGCCUCCCCAUCUCAAGUGCCGCCUGAUCGCCAUGCUCCAGCGUGGCGCACGGAGGGGGCCUCGUGCCACGCGAGGUCGAGUGCCUCUAGGCCCUCCUGCGACGUCACGACCCGCGGCCCGGAACUGGGGGCGGCAGCGGCGGUUCUGGGGCUGCUCGAUUCCCUCGGCGCCGACGUCAUCACCAACGACCUGGACCUGGGAGCGAGAUGGCCAGCUUCACCGUCACUGUCAAAGAUGGCUACGGUCAAUAGGAGGAUUCAAGGGGUUGGUAAAAUUUGUUGCAUCACCUGGCAUAUGAUGAAGGACGAAGCACGAGACCUUGCCGAUGAAGGGUACUAUGCGUAUUGUCAGGGAGAAGAUGGCAAAGACUGCGGACGAUCUAGAAGAUCUAGGCAAGCUAGCUCAAGAUGGAGUUAUUCCAUCUAUGCUCAAAAUCUUUCUUUCGUUUUUCUACAAUGUUUAAAUUGGUGGUAGUGGAGCUACUCCCUUCUUCACAUUUUUUUUUGUAUAAAGCACUUGUAUAUGCAUGGAGACUCCAUUAGAAGCUUUCUUCUUCCACCAAUUUGAAAGUCAGAAUUAAUAUCC